UACAGAGGUCUCAAGCGUUGUUCGGAUUCAUUGGGCGUAAAGGGUGUGUAGGUGGCGCCGUAAGUCGGGUGUGAAAUUUCGGAGCUUAACUCCGAAACUGCAUUCGAUACUGCGGUGCUUGAGGACUGGAGAGGAGACUGGAAUUCAUGGUGUAGCAGUGAAAUGCGUAGAGAUCAUGAGGAAGACCAGUGGCGAAGGCGGGUCUCUGGACAGUUCCUGACACUGAGACACGAAGGCCAGGGGAG
rnacentral:rRNA from 1 species